rnacentral:rRNA from 1 species
UCCCGCCAACGAGCGCAACCCUUGCCUUUAGUUGCCAGCAGUUCGGCUGGGCACUCUAAAGGGACUGCCGGUGUUAAACCGGAGGAAGGUGGGGAUGACGUCAAGUCCUCAUGGCCUUUAUGACCAGGGCUACACACGUACUACAAUGGCCGAUACAAAGGGCAGCGACACGUGCGAGGUGAAGCCAAUCCCGUAAAAUCGGUCUCAGUCCGGAUUGGAGUCUGCAACUCGACUCCAUGAAGUUGGAAUCGCUAGUAAUCGUGGAUCAGCAUGCCACGGUGAAUACGUUCCCGGGCCUU